rnacentral:rRNA from 1 species
GACGAACGCUGGCGGCGUGCUUAACACAUGCAAGUCGAACGGAAAGGCCCUGCUUGCAGGGUACUCGAGUGGCGAACGGGUGAGUAACACGUGGGUGAUCUGCCCUGCCCUUCGGGAUAAGCCUGGGAAACUGGGUCUAAUAUCGGAUAGGAGCCAUUUUUAGUGUGAUGGUUGGAAAGUUUUUUCGGUGUAGGAUGAGCUCGCGGCCUAUCAGCUUGUUGGUGGGGUAAUGGCCUACCAAGGCGGCGACGAGGAGCCGGCGUGAGAGGGUGGACGGACACAUUGGGACUGAGAUACAGCCCAGACUCCUACGGGAGGCAGCAGGGGGGAAAAUUGCACGAUGGGCGCAAGCCUGAUGGAGCGACGCCGCGUGGGGGAUGACGGCCUUCGGGUUGGAAAAUCCUUUCGCUAGGGACGACGCUUUUUGUGACGGUACCUAGAGAAGAAGCACCGGCUAACUACGUG